rnacentral:rRNA from 1 species
UAAGACGUAGGAUGCAAGCAUUGUCCGGAUUUAUUGGGCGUAAAGAGUUCGUAGGCGGUUUGUUAAGUCUAAUGUUAAAGAUCAGGGCUCAACCCUGGGACUGCAUUGGAUACUGGCAGACUGGAGUGUGGUAGAGGUAAGUGGAAUUUCUGGUGUAGCGGUGAAAUGCGUAGAUAUCAGGAAGAACACCAGUGGCGUAGGCGACUUACUGGGCCAUAACUGACGCUGAGGAACGAAAGCCAGGGGAGCAAAUGGGAUUAGAUACCCCAGUAGUCCUGGCUGUAAACGAUGGAUACUAGGCGUAGCGGGUAUCGACCCCUGCUGUGCCGCAGCUAACGCGAUAAGUAUCCCGCCUGAGUAGUACGGCCGCAAGGUUG